rnacentral:miRNA from 1 species
UAAAAAAACCGAUCUUAAAAGUGGCACUUUAAGAUUGGUUACAAAAUAACCGAUCUUAAAAGAACUUUUAAGAUCGGUUAUUUUG